rnacentral:rRNA from 1 species
AUUGAACGCUGGCGGCAUGCCUAACACAUGCAAGUCGAACGGCAGCACGGCAGUAGCAAUACUGUGGGUGGCGAGUGGCGGACGGGUGAGGAAUACGUCGGAAUCUGCCCAGUCGUGGGGGAUAACUAGCCGAAAGGUUAGCUAAUACCGCAUACGACCGAGAGGUGAAAGCGGGGGACCGCAAGGCCUCGCGCGAUUGGAUGAGCCGACGUCGGAUUAGCUAGUUGGUGGGUAAAGGCCCACCAAGGCGACGAUCCGUAGCUGGUCUGAGAGGAUGAUCAGCCACACUGGAACUGAGACACGGUCCAGACUCCUACGGGAGGCAGCAGUGGGGAAUAUUGGACAAUGGGCGCAAGCCUGAUCCAGCAAUGCCGCGUGUGUGAAGAAGGCCUCGGUUGUAAG